CGCUGGCGGCAGGCCUAACACAUGCAAGUCGAACGAUCCUUCGGGAUAGUGGCAGACGGGUGAGUAACGCGUGGGAAACUACCUUUCGGUACGGAAUAGCCUCGGGAAACUGGGAUUAAUACCGUAUACGUCCUUCGGGAGAAAGAUUUAUCGCCGAUUGAGGUGCCCGCGUUGGAUUAGCUUGUUGGUGAGGUAAUGGCUCACCAAGGCGACGAUCCAUAGCUGGUCUGAGAGGAUGAUCAGCCACACUGGGACUUAGACACGGCCCAGACUCCUACGGGAGGCAGCAGUGGGGAAUAUUGGACAAUGGGCGAAAGCCUGAUCCAGCCAUGCCGCGUGAGUGAUGACGGCCUUAGGGUUGUAAAGCUCUUUCAGUGGGGAAGAUAAUGACGGUACCCACAGAAGAAGCCCCGGCUAACUCCGUGCCAGCAGCCGCGGUAAUACGGAGGGGGUUAGCGUUG
rnacentral:rRNA from 1 species